AGUUACACACAGUUUAGAGAUCUGUGAAGUUUCUGUCUUAUUUUGUCUCUGCCACUUCAGGUGGGAACCUAUUUAUGACCCAUGUUUCCUAUGAUGGAUUUAGGUGAUGUGCCACCUCUCUUCAUCAUGCUGAGACAGUUUGCAUUUCCUGGCUAAGAUAAAGCUAAAGCUAAAGCUAACGCUAACGCUAACGCUAACGCUAAAGCUAAAGCUACUUCCUGUCAGGAGUUAUUUCUCUGGCCUAGUUCUGUAGCUCAGUUUUUUUUUUUUUGUUCUUUUUCCACCAGUGCCAUCCUGUGUUUGUGCAGCUAAGAAGGACACAUUUGCCCCUGCAGGAGCCAUGUUUAUUGGCCCUGUCUGACCGUGACGUUCCAUUCUCCUGGGAGCGGCGAGGUGGAGGCUAAGUGCUGUCAAAGCCUCUGACAACAGCAUCACCUGUAACCACUGGCAACCCUGCUUUUCUCUGAAAGUGAUGGAGCUGCAAAAAGGCACAACAAUUACCAAGAGCAGCCUCCUUCUCGGUGUCUGUGACAGUGGCUCCUCGGCUCCUGUGCUGUUGUCCUGGGUGACAUGAAUUAAUGAUAACAGCAGAGACAUCACAGACCAGACUCCAUUACACAGACCAGGAAGGUCUGCUGCAGAUCUGCAGAGAUAAAAUAUAACGAUGGCUCUACGGCCGCAUGGCAGGUGUGGAUCUGCAAAUCAUCUCCCCAGUGACAUUAGGCAGCAAGAAGGUGUGAUGUGUAGCUGCUAAUACCAAUUCAUCUGUAUCAACACUUCAGGGAAAACCCAGCUGACGGCCCCACUCACCGACACCUUCACCUGCAUGUUCCUUUUAAUGUAUUUUGGAAAACCCCUGAGUGGAUGUUGCAUCUGACAAAGGCUUGACUCAGGACAUGGAGGAAAUCAUCGACUGUGACUUGAAGCAAAAGUCCAUGGAGCAGAAUUUGACCAACUAACCAUUGAUAUUCCACUCUGGUGACCACUGAUGAUGGAUUAUAUGACUCCAUCCACCCCUGUCUGCUCCUUCACUGGUGUAUCAACCAUCCUAAUGUCUGGUAUCUGGCUUUUACUAAUUUUCUUAUUUUCCACUUUUUAUCAUGUUCAGAGCUGAGAGCUUCAGAUCCCUGCUCUACGGUAAUCCUUCACCAAUCUGAAUUUGGUCAUUGGUCUGGUAAAUGACUUGUAACCUGAUGUAUUUGCUGACACUACACUUACCAACCUUCACUUGAAGGACAGUGAAAGUGACCGCACUUGUACCUGGGUUAUAAAAUGGCAUGUAGUGUAAAAUGAAAAAGAAGAAUCACUUUCUCCAGUUGUCUACGUCAGGGGUCGUCACAGAGGGUAAACCCAACCACACUCUGUCCUCCCUAAUGCAGCCCUCCAGAUUUAUCUGGCUUCAGGACUUGCUUUAAGUGGCUGUGAAAAUAAUGGGAUACCGCCGAACCCACUGACCUACGACUUCCACUUCAGACGUAUUUCUGAACUGUAAGCAGAGACAAAAGAGAUGACACAACAACAGGGAUUUCCUACAGUAUUGACACACUUGAAAUAAACAGAGAAAACAGUACUACAGUAUAUCUAAGUAUUUGGUGUGAUGUAAAACAUGCUGUGGGCAGUACCAGACCAUGAUUUAUAGCAGUGUGGGAAAUACAUCACACUUGAUGGAAAUGAUAAAUUGCAUGCUAUAUUCUUGGUAGUGAAUGAAUACACUGGGGAGUGAGUUAAUACAUCGGUGUCAUAGUGCACUGUGCGUUCAGUACCGGUCAAUAAGUUUUCCGUGUACGGAUUUUCCUUAUGCAGUGUAAACCAUCUUUAUACAAUGUCUUUGAGACUCAGCAGCAGCAGUGGCAUCAGCAGCAGCAGGAGCA